rnacentral:rRNA from 1 species
CCCGUCACAUCAUGAAAGCCGUUUGUACCCGAAGUCACCGUGUUAGCUCGCAAGAGAGACAGGUGCCGAAGGUAUGGAUGGUGAUUGGGAUG